GAUGAACGCUGGCGGCGUGCUUAACACAUGCAAGUCGAACGAUGAUCCCCAGCUUGCUGGGGGGAUUAGUGGCGAACGGGUGAGUAACACGUGAGUAACCUGCCCUUAACUCUGGGAUAAGCCUGGGAAACUGGGCCUAAUACCGGAUAUGACUCCUCAUCGCAUGGUGGGGGGUGGAAAGCUUUUUGCGGUUUUGGAUGGACUCGCGGCCUAUCAGCUUGUUGGUGAGGUAAUGGCUCACCAAGGCGACGACGGGUAGCCGGCCUGAGAGGGUGACCGGCCACACUGGGACUGAGACACGGCCCAGACUCCUACGGGAGGGAGCAGUGGGGAAUAUUGCACAAUGGGCGCAAGCCUGAUGCAGCGACGCCGCGUGAGGGAUGACGGCCUUCGGGUUGUAAACCUCUUUCAGUAGGGAAGAAGCCGUAAGGUGACGGUACCUGCAGAAGAAGCGCCGGCUAACUACGCGCCAGCCGCCGCAGUAACAC
rnacentral:rRNA from 1 species